rnacentral:rRNA from 1 species
AGUGAACGCUGGCGGUAGGCCUAACACAUGCAAGUCGAACGGCAGCACAGUAAGAGCUUGCUCUUACGGGUGGCGAGUGGCGGACGGGUGAGGAAUACAUCGGAAUCUACUUUUUCGUGGGGGAUAACGUAGGGAAACUUACGCUAAUACCGCAUACGACCUACGGGUGAAAGCAGGGGAUCUUCGGACCUUGCGCGAUUGAAUGAGCCGAUGUCGGAUUAGCUAGUUGGCGGGGUAAAGGCCCACCAAGGCGACGAUCCGUAGCUGGUCUGAGAGGAUGAUCAGCCACACUGGAACUGAGACACGGUCCAGACUCCUACGGGAGGCAGCAGUGGGGAAUAUUGGACAAUGGGCGCAAGCCUGAUCCAGCCAUACCGCGUGGGUGAAGAAGGCCUUCGGGUUGUAAAGCCCUUUUGUUGGGAAAGAAAAGCAGCAGGUUAAUACCCUGCUGUUCUGACGUUACCCAAAGAAUAAGCACCGGCUAACUUCGUG